GUUUUAUUAUUUCACUCUUGUGCAAAUAUGAAUGAUACAUCUAUAAAGGCAAAAAACAAAGACAACAACAGUUCAUAUAUUGCAAAGAAAUACAAUAGACUUAGUAGUGUUAGUAGGCUCUCCAGUCACUGAGCUUUUACAGGUCAAGGUCCUGCACAUAUACAGGUCAAGAGGUCAACGGGUACGCCGUCAAAAAUUGUGCCCAGCUCAGCACUCUGUCAAAUUAUGGACCUUAAGAGUUCAUAAAGAUCAAGAUCCACAUGAAGUAUAAAGUUGAAACAUGUCUAAAGGAACACUUUAAAGUAAUAUGAGUAAGGUAAUCACACAAUACAUCAGAAACACAGAAAUCUGCUUAUCAGUAACAGAAAUGAUAUUUUCUUGUACUAUAUGCAGGGAUUAAAAUUGAAACAGAAUCAUGCUUUUUGAUGCAAGCAUUUUGCAUUUUUUUCACUUUUGACUCAGCCAAAUUAUCUGCAUAACA